ACUCGUGAAAUCUCCGGGCUUAACUCGGAACGGUCAGAUGAUACUCGCUUUGCUAGAGUGCAGAAGGGGCAAUCGGAAUUCUUGGUGUAGCGGUGAAAUGCGUAUAUAUCAAGAAGAACACCUGAGGUGAAGACGGGUUGCUGGGCUGACACUGACGCUGAAGCGCGAAAGCCAGGGGAGCAAACGGGAUUAGAUACCCCGGUAGUCCUGGCCCUAAACGAUGAAUACUUGGUGUC
rnacentral:rRNA from 1 species